GAGCUCCCUCCCAGGGAACUGCAGAGCUGCUCUCAGCCUAGGAAACCAGGAUAAUUGUAUAAUGUGAUAUGAGUAUUAAAUUGUGUAAAUGUAGAGAGGUAACUUUCUGGUAGCAAAUAGAAAACUGACUGAGGGUAAGAGAUAGGCACAAAACAAGAGGAAAUGGAGGUGAGAGUAAUAUGAAGAGGGAGAUAAACUUCAAAUGUGGAGAUUUAGGAGACAACCAAAGGAAUGUGGCCAAUGAGACCUUAGCAAGUUUAACGUAAGCAGAAGUUUGGCGCGCACUAUUAUGGAUUGAGUGUUUGUUGCUCCCCAAAGCUCAUAUGUGAAGCCCUAACACUCAAGGUAACCCUCUAGACUACAUGGGAGUCGAGAUUAUCCUCCAGUGGAGAGAGGAUAAUGGAGAAACCCUGGAAUGUGGGGUAUUAUAUGAAGAGAGUGAACAUGUAGAAGAAAACUGAAGGUUCUUUUCCUGUUUCCAACAGUCAAUAUUUCAGCCUCUUGCAAACAUAUGAGUGACGCAGCCAGCAUAACAUGAAACACAAGGCUCAU
rnacentral:lncRNA from 10 species